rnacentral:rRNA from 1 species
GAUGAACGCUGGCGGCGUGCCUAACACAUGCAAGUCGAGCGAUCUUCUUCGGAAGAGAGCGGCGGACGGGUGAGUAACGCGUGGGUAACCUGCCUCAUACACAUGGAUAACAUACCGAAAGGUAUGCUAAUACAAGAUGAUAUAAGAGAUUCGCAUGGAUUUCUUAUCAAAGCUCCGGCGGUAUGAGAUGGACCCGCGUCUGAUUAGCUAGUUGGUAAGGUAAUGGCUUACCAAGGCGACGAUCAGUAGCCGACCUGAGAGGGUGAUCGGCCACAUUGGAACUGAGACACGGUCCAAACUCCUACGGGAGGCAGCAGUGGGGAAUAUUGCACAAUGGGCGAAAGCCUGAGUGCGAGCAACGCCGCGUGAGCGAUG